rnacentral:lncRNA from 1 species
UUUUGUUGAGGCUUCAUGUAUAAAUGUUUGUAGGUUUACAUACACGUCAAUCAAGAAGAGCCCCAAUUAAGCUUAUUGAAACAAGAAGAGAUUUGAGAGUUUUUAUCAUUUAAUUGAAUUGCCAAGCUCAACAUAGGGUUGUUAUUGUUAGUUGCAAUGGCGAGGAGUUAAUCACGAUUCUCUCUACUAAAGUGGUUCGGCGUUAAAGAAAGGAAACUCCAUGGCCAUUUGUCCACCAACAAGUAAUUAGAAACAAAGAGUGUUGCAGAGACACGCAGCUUUUGUUUUUUGGCCUACAAAAUAAGUAGAGCUUGAACCCGCCAGGAUUUUGCUUUCCAAUUUGAUCCGUUAAAGUUGAUGUUCCUGACAAAAUAAUAUGAGAAAAUAGAGAUCAUGUAAAUGGAAGACGUAAGAUAACAACAAGUGGCUAGCUAGAGCUUAAAUAUCAUUUAGGAUCGUAUCUAUAGUGUUAAAUAUAUAUGGAGACCUAAUUUUUUUAAAAAAGAGAGGCUAAAAUGAGGCCAUUUGGUGCAUUGACUGGCAAUUUCAAUGUUUUCUUUCGAAUAAUUGCCCAUGGUAAGCAAUUGGGUAUAGACAAGAGACAAUAUGGAUAAUGUUAAAGAUUAGAAGUACCCAGAAACGAAAGUACUGUAUGUUCUGACUUCAAUGUCAGACGUUCAAGGACCCAAGCUUCCACAAUCAUCACUACCAAGAAAAUAAUAAAAUAUCACAAAUUUAAAGGGUUUUAAUAAUAAUAUAUUAUGUGGAGC